rnacentral:rRNA from 1 species
AAGUCGUAACAAGGUUUCCGUAGGUGAACCUGCGGAAGGAUCAUUAGUGAAUUUAGAGCGUAACCUUUGGUUAGCUCAACCUUCAUUUUCCAACUCUGUGCACUAUUGGCGGACUGGGAGCAAGGAAUUGCUAUUCAGUCUGCGGCUCACUAUUAAACAUUAGUUAAAGUAUGUAUUAUAAAAAAUAAAACAAAAAAAAGCUUUCAACAACGGAUCUCUUGGCUCUCGCAUCGAUGAAGAACGCAGCGAAAUGUGAUAAGUAAUGCGAAUUGCAGAAUUCAGUGAAUCAUCGAAUCUUUGAACGCACCUUGCACUCUCUGGUAUUCCGGAGAGUAUGCCUGUUUGAGUGUCAUGAACUCUUCAACCUACCGAUUCCUAGUGAAUCGGAUUAGUGUUUGGAUUUUGAACGCUUGCUGGCCUUUCGGGGCGAAGCUCGUUCGUAAAUGAUUAGCAUCUCAUAUUCGAAAAUCGGAUUGACUCAGUGUAAUAGACUAUUCGCUGAGGACGCUUCUUUUGAAGUGGCCGAGUUUUGUAAAGUAGAAGCUUCUAAUUCUAUUAGUCAACUUUAGAUUAGACCUCAGAUCAGGCAGGAUUACCCGCUGAACUUAA